AACCUCCGCAAUGUGAGAAAUCGCGACGGGGGGAUCCCAAGUGCCAUUCUUAACGGGAUGGCUUUUCAUUAGUGUAAAGAGCUUUUGGAAUAAGAGCUGGGCAAGACCGGUGCCAGCCGCCGCGAUAACACCGGCAGCUCUAGUGGUAACAAUUUUUAUUGGGCCUAAAGCGUCCGUAGCCGGUUUAAUAAGUCUCUGGUGAAAUCCUGUAGCUUAACUGUGGGAAUUGCUGGAGAUACUAUUAGACUUGAGACCGGGAGAGGUUAGAGGUACUCCCAGGGUAGAGGUGAAAUUCUGUAAUCCUGGGAGGACCGCCUGUUGCGAAGGCGUCUAACUGGAACGGUUCUGACGGUGAGGGACGAAAGUUAGGGGCGCGAACCGGAUUAGAUGCCCGGGUAGUCCUAACUGUAAACGAUGCGGACUUGGUGUUGGGGUGGCUUUGAGCUGCUCCAGUGCCGAAGGGAAGCUGUUAAGUCCGCCGCCUGGGAAGUACGGUCGCAAGACUGAAACUUAAAGGAAUU
rnacentral:rRNA from 1 species